ensembl:snRNA U6 U6 spliceosomal RNA
GUGCUUACUCCGGCAGUACAUACACUAAAAUUGGAAUGGUACAGAGAAGAAUAGCAAGGCCCUGGGCAAAGACGACAUGCAGGUUCCUGAAGCAUUCCAUAUUUUA